rnacentral:siRNA from 1 species
ACGGCCGUUAACUCGGAUGGCUGA